CGAGGCCCAGGGAGGAGAGGCUGGCCCAGGGCUACCUGGGUCCACAGAGCAGGGACAGGGAACUUGAAGAUACUAACACUUCGGACGAGGAAAAAAGAAGGCCAUGACAUGGCAGAGCGCUGUGGAGCGAGUGAGGGUUCAUCAGCUCAACAAGCAUUUGUGCGUUCCUGAGACCUGGAGGCUCCACUCCCCCACCUAAGUACACAAUAGCCC
rnacentral:lncRNA from 1 species